rnacentral:tRNA from 1 species
GCGUCCAUUGUCUAAUGGAUAGGA